UCAGGCUCUCAGCAUCAGCAGAAUACAAUAAGGUCCUGGAGUCCUUCAAUGAAACCAUGCCGGCGUGUACCAUUCUCAGCAUCCACAGGAUACAGAAUGUGAAUUUGUGGAAUUUUUUCAUGUUGCAAAUGGAUGCUAUGAAAGCCAAGGCUGAUGAAGACGUUGCUGAGAGACUCCUCUUCCAUGGAUCCUAUUUUGCCAAAGACGCAAAGUACUCUAACGGAUACACAAGUACAUCGGGGACCAGGUCCAUG